rnacentral:misc_RNA from 1 species
GAGACAUUAUCAAAACAGCGGACUUCGGUCCUUGCUGCACCCUUGUCUUUUGCGUACCGUAUGUUUCCUCGGCGGGCUUGCCUGCCGGUUGGACAAUAUCAAACCUUUUUGUAGUUGCAAUCAGCGUCAGAAAACAAAUAAUAAUUACAACUUUCAACAACGGAUCUCUUGGUUCUGGCAUCGAUGAAGAACGCAGCGAAAUGCGAAAAGUAGUGUGAAUUGCAGAAUUCAGUGAAUCAUCGAAUCUUUGAACGCACAUUGCGCCCCUUGGUAUUCCAUGGGGCAUGCCUGUUCGAGCGUCAUUUUGUACCCUCAAGCACUGCUUGGUGUUGGGCGUUUGUCCUGCAAAGGACUCGCCUGAAAGCGAUUGGCGGCCAACGUACUGGUGGUAGAGCGCAGCACAAUUUGCGUCUCUCCCUUCUACGUCGGCGUCCAUGAAGCCUUAUUCAAACGUUUGACCUCGGAUCAGGUAGGGAUACCCGCUGAACUUAAGCAUAUCAAUAAGCGGAGGAAAAGAAACCAACAGGGAUUGCCCUAGUAACGGCGAGUGAAGCGGCAUCAGCUCAAAUUUGAAAUCUGGCUCUUUCAGAGUCCGAGUUGUAAUUUGCAGAGGGCGCUUUGGUGUCGGCAGCGGUCCAAGUUCCUUGGAACAGGACGUCACAGAGGGUGAGAAUCCCGUACGUGGUCGCUGACCUACACCGUGUAAAGCCCCUUCGACGAGUCGAGUUGUUUGGGGAAUGCAGCUCUAAAUGGGGAGGUAAAUUUUCUUCUA